rnacentral:lncRNA from 1 species
CAGGAAAUCUGCAGCUCAAUGGGGAGAAGAAAUAGAAUACUUCCCAACGACUAGACCCGCUGCUUGGCAGAAGGCUCUGCCAACAGGCCCUGGGGGACCUCAGCCCGAGUCGACUUCACCACAUGGCGCCCUGGUGUGGAAAAGAAAACUAAACUCAAGUACCUGACUAAAUAUCUAUCCUCCACAGAAUUGGCCCCACUACAAGCAGAAGCUUCCACCAAUGGGCCAAGGUGCUCCUCUUCCUCAUUCGACCUCAUUUCUUUAUCAUAUAUUGGGUGAAAAAAAAAAAAAAGAAAGAAAACCAAACACACUGACUCACCUCAACCCCCCCAGGAUGAAUGUGUGCCCUUCAGAGACUUGGCCCCAACACUUGGCAGAAACCCUUGCCAACAGGCCAAAAGGUCCUCUUCCCCAAUAGAACAGAAGGCAUUGUGCCAUCUGGAAAAAAGAUCCCCCCCAAGCACACUAACUCCCCUCAACAUCCAGGCUAAAUGUGGGUCCUCCAUAGACAGGACUUCUGCAGGGCUCCUGCCUGGCAGAAAGCUCCACCAAGGGGCCAGGGCUCUCCUUCCCCAGUCGAUCUCAGCACAUUUUCCCUGAAAACUUGGGAGAACGGAUGCCUCCCAUAAACCUCCAGCAUUCACCAUGGUGCCAGCAGCUGGGCCAGACUGGGUAGUCCCAACCCCUGGAAGAGGCCGGUCUCUGGGCUGACCAAUGACCUCCCCUGCCUGCCAUGAGAGGUCAAACAGGAAGCCACCCCACUCCUGUCAGCUCCCUCUUCCCUCAGGCUGUAGCACUUGCCUGCCCCAGGCUUUAGGGACUCCCGCCAAAGGCCCCAGGAAGAAGAGGCUCAGCCACCCUUACAAAGGAAAAUUGCAAACACCAGUCCAUCUUGUUCACCAGAUAGAUGAUGUGGAAAUUGAGAAUCAAGAAUUGCCAAUUGAACAUGAAGUUUCAGCCAACAUUGUUCCCCAGGUCUCUGGGUCACUGGAUGCCC